UCGCUCUGAGGAGACAAGAAGAGCUUCUUCAGAAGAGAAAUGCAUGCUUUGAGUAAUAUGCCCUGCUCCUACCAGGAUCCUGGGGGUCUGAUCCAAGGUCCACCACACCUGGUGGGAGGAGGACAGGAGAAAGCAGGAGGUCUAAAAAUCUUGGAGGACUUUCAGCUUGACAUUCAGAUUUGAGAACUGAUGUGAGGCACUACAGGAUGCAGGAUACCCUACCUCAGACCUGGUCACAAGGAUGCGAAUCAAGGUCUCUUCAUCAGUCCCAGCUCCUUUCAUCGACUUGUGCAGAAGUGUGGCAAAGUAACCUGGGCAGUCUUUGGCACAGCUAACUAGAGAAAACAUGCCCAGGGUUACAGUUUUCUGAUGAACUCUGAGUCAUCCCAGGGAAGUUCAGGACUGUGAGCCAGAGGCUGGAGGGGGACUCUUUCCUAAGAAUAAACAUCACUGCUGAGCUUCCAUCUCGCUGCCAGGAGAAGGACCUUGGAUCUCCCACAGCUUUUUCUUUCUGAGGUAAUUUCCAGGCAAGAUAUCUCAGUGGAGGUCCAGGCCCAAGCAUGUGUAAAAUGCCUUGGUGGGUGACAUCAGGAGAAGUACCAAACAGCCAGGAUCCUGCUGCCUAUUUUGCCUUAUGUUCGGAGACAGAGGAAAGCACAGCAAAGCACCUGCACAGGCUGUCUGCCCAGCGUGGGCCGAGAGGAAGCUUCUGCUGUGCUUCUGCCCAACCAAUAUGAGGAGUGAAGUGUGGGGGUCAGGAGGAGAGACCUUGACAGGUUCUGCUUAGGAGAAGGAGAGGAAAAGACCAGAAAAGCAAAACCUUGCUUCAGGGCAGCAGUUUGUGAACCUGUCCCUUUGCUGCAGGAAUAGGGAUACCCACUGCCGUGCAGCUGUGGGAAGGAAACAACAUUGUGACAUUUAUUUGGCUGGAUGUUGUGUAGAUUAUGAAGGGGAAUAGGUUCUUCAGUGGCAAAAGAUUCAGCUUUUAUCCAUUAUUUCUGUAAACUCAGGAUAUAGUUGUAUAAAAAUGUUUUCCAAAAUUCUUAAAGCAUUCAAGAAGUUAUAAAAUGACAAAGAAUGGAUUGUCCACUCUACACAGAAUUAUUUAGGUUGAAAAAGACCCUUCAGAUCAUUAAAUGUCAUUUUAGGGUCUGCACCUACAUGUCAGGCCCUGUGCAACCCACAUUGCAGAAGAUAAUAACUCACC